rnacentral:misc_RNA from 1 species
ACUGCCAUCAUUUUUUGGGCAUGCACCAGUUAUUAUAGCUUCAAGUUAACAAAUUACGGUUUACCUGUGAAGUUAUAGGAACUCUCACAAAAUAGCUUGAUUAACCGUAUUAGAUUAGUCAUAAUUUAUUAAAAAUAAUUAAGAACUUUGCACACAAAGGACUGAAAGGAGCUCAGCGGUUAUGGAUUUCGAGUUAGAAUCUCACUAACUACUGUUGGAGUUCCCAAAUUAUGAGGAUUUUGAUUAAUAAUAAUAAUAAGGGAUCUUCACUUUUACAUAGAGCAUAAAUAUAAAAGAUGCUAUUAUCAUUUUAGCUAA